rnacentral:rRNA from 1 species
CUACGGGUUGCAGCAGUGAGGAAUAUUGCACAAUGGGGGGAACCCUGAUGCAGCAACGCCGCGUGGAGGAUGACGCAUUUCGGUGUGUAAACUCCUUUUAUAUGUCAAGAAAAUGACGGUAGCAUAUGAAUAAGCACCGGCUAACUCCGUGCCAGCAGCCGCGGUAAUACGGAGGGUGCAAGCGUUACUCGGAAUCACUGGCGUAAAGGACGCGUAGGCGGGUUGGAAAGUCAGGUGUGAAAUCCUACAGCUUAACUGUAGAACUGCACUUGAAACUUCUAAUCUAGAGUAUGGGAGGGGAGAUGGAAUUAGUGGUGUAGGGGUAAAAUCCGUAGAUAUCACUAGGAAUACCUAAAGCGAAGGCGAUCUCCUGGAACAUUACUGACGCUAAGGCGUGAAAGCGUGGGGAGCAAACAGGAUUAGAUACCCCUGUAGUC